UUUUGUUAAAAGCAAUUCACUCACUUUGAAAUUGAUACCACAAACUACGAGGUUUUGAUCCCUCAUUUUUAUGUUGGUACGUAGGCACAAGUUCGAAGGUCUUGUGAAAGACAAAUAUAUAAUUGAUUCCUUUCUCAUCCCCACAUUCUACUUAUUGCAAACAUCAUUUUAUACCAAAACACAUACACACAGAAAAUAGGGCUCCCUAGGAGUACCUAGGACACUUUGGGUGAU
rnacentral:lncRNA from 1 species